GCCGUGAUAGUAUAGAGGUCAGUACAUCGCGUUGUGGCCGCGAAAACCCAGGUUCGAAUUCUGGUCACGGCA
rnacentral:tRNA from 1 species